rnacentral:rRNA from 1 species
UACGGGGGGGGCAAGCGUUGUUCGGAAUUACUGGGCGUAAAGGGCUCGUAGGCGGCCAACUAAGUCAGACGUGAAAUCCCUCGGCUUAACCGGGGAACUGCGUCUGAUACUGGAUGGCUUGAGUCCGGGAGAGGGAUGCGGAAUUCCAGGUGUAGCGGUGAAAUGCGUAGAUAUCUGGAGGAACACCGGUGGCGAAGGCGGCAUCCUGGACCGGUACUGACGCUGAGGAGCGAAAGCCAGGGGAGCAAACGGG